rnacentral:rRNA from 1 species
GAUGAACGCUGGCGGCGUGCUUAACACAUGCAAGUCGAACGGAAAGGCUCCGGCUUUCAGGGGUACUCGAGUGGCGAACGGGUGAGUAACACGUGGGUGAUCUGCCCUUCACUUCGGGAUAAGCCUGGGAAACUGGGGCUAAUACCAGAUAGGACCACAUGUUGCAUGGUGUGGUGUAGAGAGUUUCGGUGUGGGAUGAGCUCGCGGCCUAUCAGCUUGUUGGUGGGGUAGUGGCGUACCAAGGCGUCGACGGGUAGCCGGCCUGAGAGGGGGUACGGCCACAUUGGGACUGAGAGACGGGCCAGAGUCCUCCGGGGGGCAGAAGUGGGGAAUAUUGCACAAUGGGCGCAAGCGUGAGGCAGCGCCGCCGCGUGGGCGAUGACGGCCUUUGGGUGGUAAAAUCCUUUCGCUAGGGACGAAGCGUUUUUGUGACGGUACCUGGAGAAGAAGCACCGGCUAACUACGUG